rnacentral:lncRNA from 1 species
UGCUUAUGAAAGGGAUGUGAUGUGGAUCGGGGCCAGAAGGUGUCUAGGAGGAGGAUCUAGUGUUUUCUCAUGGAUGAAAUCACACACAAAGCCUAAGUUGACGAAACUGGAGUCAAACUUGUGACCCUCCUGCCUCAGCCUUCAAGACUGCUGGAAUUACAGAGCUGUGCCACCAUGCCUGGCUAAAUCCACACGUUCAAACCAGUCAUUCUCACAGAACUGCUUAUCGCGAAGUCCCCAAAGACCACCAAGGAGCCGAUUCCGAUGCAAACACACGAGGGUCAUUUAUUCAAGCUUGAGCAGAGGCUCCCAACCGUCACCGACGCAGCGGAUCAGAAUUGAGAGCCCCGAAUUUCAAAUUAGCGGGGUUUUUAUAGAGGUUACAGCAAGGUUUGGAGAUUUUUCACUUAGCAGUUACAUGAUUGGUUAACAUUUAGCAAGCAUGAAGUGUACAUUUCUGAUUGGCUAGGUUCAUCGUGGGGGUUGAGGGGCGGUUACAUGUAGGUUUUACGAGGGAAAGGAGGGACAAAGGUUAGUGGUCAACUGUCACGUACUGAUGGUCAGCAGACACACUGACUAUUAGUCACGACCAUUACGUACUGACAGUCAGCACAUCUACAGAUUGUUCUAUGGAUAGGGGGCCCCGGACGUUCUUUUCCUAGGUACACAGAGGGUUGAGUAAUUAACUUAGGAACUUUGCUUCGUUACAGAUUGUGUCUUUUGUCCCAGAGCAGGCACAUUUUAACCAUUAAUUUGUGAGGACAAUAGAGACUAGGGGAAUAGUGGAUUUUAGCAAAAUGGAGUCGCUUUGGUCUCACAUAAUCUAUAUCUACACUUCAUAUUUUAUGAAUUGAUAUGUGAAUAACAACAGGCUGGACAAGGCAAUGCAGUGCUAUAAUCCCAGCACUCUGGGCAGCCGAGGAAGGGGAUAGUAUGCUCCAGUAGAGCCUGGACAGUUUAUCAAAAGCCUGCCUCAAAAAAGUUUACAAGAGAGAAAAAAAUUUAAAAGUCUGGAGAUGUAACUCAGUGCAAAGGACCUGCGUCUAAGCCUCAGCACCACAAGAAAAAAUAAAUUGACAGAAUGUUUACAAC